AAUAUAUCGGAACGUACCCAAGAGUGGGGGAUAACGUAGCGAAAGUUACGCUAAUACCGCAUACGAUCUAAGGAUGAAAGCAGGGGAUCUUCGGACCUUGUGCUCCUGGAGCGGCCGAUAUCUGAUUAGCUAGUUGGUGAGGUAAAGGCUCACCAAGGCCACGAUCAGUAGCUGGUCUGAGAGGACGACCAGCCACACUGGAACUGAGACACGGUCCAGACUCCUACGGGAGGCAGCAGUGGGGAAUUUUGGACAAUGGGCGAAAGCCUGAUCCAGCAAUGCCGCGUGAGUGAAGAAGGCCUUCGGGUUGUAAAGCUCUUUUGUCAGGGAAGAAACGGUGAGGGCUAAUAUCCCUCGCUAAUGACGGUACCUGAAGAAUAAGCACCGGCUAACUACGUGCCAGCAGCCGCGGUAAUACGUAGGGUGCAAGCGUUAAUCGGAAUUACUGGGCGUAAAGCGUGCGCAGGCGGUUUUGUAAGUCUGACGUGAAAUCCCCGGGCUCAACCUGGGAAUUGCGUUGGAGACUGCAAGGCUAGAAUCUGGCAGAGGGGGGUAGAAUUCCACGUGUAGCAGUGAAAUGCGUAGAGAUGUGGAGGAACACCGAUGGCGAAGGCAGCCCCCUGGGUCAAGAUUGACGCUCAUGCACGAAAGCGUGGGGAGCAAACAGGAUUAGAUACCCUGGUAGUCCACGCCCUAAACGAUGUCUACUAGUUGUCGGGUUUUAAUUAACUUGGUAACGCAGCUAACGCGUGAAGUAGACCGCCUGGGGAGUACG
rnacentral:rRNA from 1 species